rnacentral:rRNA from 1 species
CAGCAGCCGCGGUAAUACAGAGGGUGCGAGCGUUAAUCGGAUUUACUGGGCGUAAAGCGUGCGUAGGCGGCUUUUUAAGUCGGAUGUGAAAUCCCUGAGCUUAACUUAGGAAUUGCAUUCGAUACUGGGAAGCUAGAGUAUGGGAGAGGAUGGUAGAAUUCCAGGUGUAGCGGUGAAAUGCGUAGAGAUCUGGAGGAAUACCGAUGGCGAAGGCAGCCAUCUGGCCUAAUACUGACGCUGAGGUACGAAAGCAUGGGGAGCAAACAGGAUUAGAUACCCCUGUAGUCCCUGUCUUUAUACA